CACACACAUUGCAAGAAGUCAUGGCUGAAGAAAAAAUCAACACACUGCAACAUGCUUGAAGAUCUAGGUGCACAAAGGCAAAGCAGGAAAUUAAAUGAAUGGCCAAAUCAGUAUUAUAUUGCCUACAAUAAAAUUAAAAUAUACCUCUGACAAGUCCAGGCCACAGUGUUGGCGUUCUGUUAAUGUGCCAAUGUUAAGUGUCUCAAUGGAGUGGACAAGCAACUGGGAAUAAAUUAAAUCAGGAUUAUACACAUCUAUAAAAGGUAUAUAAAUCCCCUGCCAUCUCCCAGCUUUUAUAGCCAAAUACUCUUACAGUCCGCUGAGUCUACUUGCACACAGUUACCAGAGGCUGUCUGAGAGACUACAGGAUGGCAAAGGUCAUUGCCAGCAUCACAGCUACCACUCCUUUGCUUUUGUGACAUCACCCAUCUCUUUCAUAGCAUCUCCAGUUUCCGUAAGGGUGAACAGUAGCAAUUAUUAUGAGUUCAUUCCUCAGUCAAGAAGAAAUCAGAACCCACUUCUGCCAGAACAUUAUUGGAGAAACAGUUGUCUAAUAAGACCUGAUUUUCCUCAAAAUUAUUAUUCUAGAGGACUUUGGAUUUCUUUGAUUAAAUGAAAAAGUUCAAUCCAUGCAAUAAUAAAGGAAACAAGUCUGCUUAGAGACUGAAGAGGUGAAGGUGGUCAGACAAACACCUGAUAUCUAAAUUAAACUUAGCAGAUUUGAAAGUUUCUCAAAACCUGUAGAAGAAAGUCCUUCAUCUAUGAGACAUCAAGCACAUAAGAAGUACAGCUUGAGCUGUAUGAGUAACUGAAAGUGUGCAACUUACUGACUUUCCCCACCUUCUACCUGAAUAGUUCAGGGACAUUUCAUGACUUUCAAGGAUAUGUUGCUCUCCAGAAGUUAUCUAGGGAAUCAUUUAUACAUUCUACCUGAAUAAAUGGUUGCUCUCAUUCAGUGUUGGAAAUUCCAGCUGUACUGACUGGCAUCUAGCUCACAGCUCAUCUCUGCUCCUCCUCUGAGCUUAAGUAGCUCUUCAAAAUUUUGAUUGUGUGAAUUCCAAUUUCAACCCUGAUUCAGUAGCUUGUUUUCUGUGAAUGUGGUACUUGCAAGCAGUAAACAUUCAUACUGUCUGUGCAAGCUCUGCAAGCCGUAUUGAUACAGCUCCAGGAAGAGACACUGGCUUUUGGCCAAGAAAGGUGAUCACCUCAGCGCUCAAGUAGAACUUGCAUCAGAGAGAGUCAUAAUGAGCUUCCUCCUUUAAAAAGCUACUGACAACAAUCGACAAGCAGUGAUGUAAAGGAUCAAGGUAUUUAGGUUAUUAAACUCACAUAAAGGGAUAAUUACAAAACUGCAAAAAUUCAUUGAAGAUUUCAGUGUCAUAUUUACCCCAGAUCUUCAAUAGUUUUUCCUUCCAGCGAAUACGUUGUAUGAAACAGCAGAUAUAAAGCCCUUCUGCCCUUGUGUAAAUGAAGUGGACAUUGAUCAAAGCGUAGAUUAGCUGUGCAGAGGGUUGGACAGAACAAAGGAUGGUUACUGCUGUUUCCAACAUAGCAGUACAACAGAUGUCAGUAAACAUCAAAAAAAGUGUCUCAUUUUUAUGCUUUGUUUUAUUUUGGUUUUGUGGAGUUGCUUUAUGUUUGGUUGGUUGCAUUGUUUUUUUGUUGUUGUUGUUUUUACUUCUUUAUUGUUUUUAGUCAGAUACUUCACUCAUUUACACAAAAGAUGCCUGUCAAGCAUAUGGACUGCACUUCUUAAAGCUUAAUCUCCAGAUGCGGUGCUUUGAAUCUGCUGUCAGUAAUCUCCAAAGGAAGACUUUGAAACUGAUUCUUAUUCAGGAUUCUAGUUCAGAAAAGCUCUUUAUUUUCUAUGCUAGGAAUUUUGGAGACGUGGGUUAUUGCCCCUUCUAGUUUAAGAAAAAAUUUCCACUUUACAGUAAACUCAGUUAGACUCUGUGGGGAAGCAAUGAGAACUUCUGAGUUGAAAUACAAUUCAGAAUACCCUCUGUUCAAAUCAAUAGUCAUCCUCCUGAAGGAGGGAUGGGGCAAAGGAUGAUAAUUUGAUGUUUUGAAAUUCAGAUCCACAUUCCAACAAAAAUCAUGUGAAGUUAAAGCUUACUGAACAAACUCAGGUGCAAAAGCUAAUG
ensembl:lncRNA